rnacentral:rRNA from 1 species
GUGCCAGCGCCGCGGUAAUACCGGCGGCUCAAGUGAUGUCCCAUAUUAUUGGGCCUAAAGCGUCCGUAGCUGGCCAGACAAGUCUGUUGGGAAAUCCACGCGCUCAACGCGUGGGCGUCCAGCGGAAACUGUCUGGCUUGGGGCCGGAGGACUCGAGGGGUACGUCCGGGGUAGGAGUGAAAUCCCGUAAUCCUGGACGGACCACCGAUGGCGAAAGCACUUCGAGAAAACGGAUCCGACAGUGAGGGACGAAAGCCAGGGUCUCCAACCGGAUUAGAUACCCUAGUAGUCC